ensembl:snRNA U6 U6 spliceosomal RNA
GUGCUCGCUUCGGCAGUACAUAUACUAAAAUUGGAACGAUACAGAGAAGAUUAGCAUGGCCCCUGCCAAGAAUGUCACACAAAUUCCUGAAACAUGCCAUAUUUUU